rnacentral:SRP_RNA from 1 species
GCUGGGCGUGGCAGCGGGUGCCUGUAAUCCCAGCUACUCAGGAGGCUGAGUCAGGAGAAUCGCUUGAACCUGGGAGGCAGAGAUUGCAGUGAGCUGAGAUCGAGCCACUGCGCUCCCGCCUAGGUGACAGAGAGAGACUCUGUCUCAA